GGGGCUCUAGCUCAUAUGGUAGAGCGUUCCCUUCGCAUCGUCGCGACUUGCAGAGGCAAUUUGGGAGAGGCACAGGGUUCGAUUCCCUGGUGCUCCA
rnacentral:tRNA from 2 species